rnacentral:piRNA from 1 species
UGACGCUUGUGUCUAAUUAACUUGGGGACU